rnacentral:lncRNA from 1 species
CAAAUCCAAAUUCUAACCCAAACUCUAUUUUUCUUUCUUUUUCAAAAUUUAUAAACCCUAGAUCUUCACUUCAAACUCAGAUUUACACCAAAAUAUUUCAUAUCUGCAUCAAAACAUCUCAGAUCUGUACUUAAGGAUCUCAGAUCUGCACCCAAAAAUUCCAGAUCCGCCUCUCGUCGCCGCUCGCGGUGUGGUUCAGCCUCUCAAGCUCUGCGAACGGGAUGAUACUGUUGCUGCUGGCUGGCUUCACCGUCGAGAUCACCUCCUGCUGGCUGGCUUCACCGUUGGCCGCGGGCAGAGCCGUGAAUGGUGGAAGAAGAAGCUAACAACAGUGACAACAGUACCGUGAGGUCUUUGCAGUGUGUGAUUCUUGUUAUUGGUAGGUGGGGAAAGAAGAAAGGAAAGCAAGUUUGAGAGAGAAGAGAGAAGAAGAAAGAAGAAAGAAGAAGGGAAGGAAGUGUGAGAGAGAAAAAUAAAGAAGAAGGAAAGGAAGUAUGAGAGAGAAGAAGAAAGAAGAAGGGACUUUUCACUUCCCUCUGCACGCCACCGUCAGCCAAAAUUAAAACAUUAUUUUAAUUUCAUAAAAUAGCUAGGGGUAAAAUUAGAAUUUUGGUUUUUAAACGGAUAGCGGGUACCCGCGGGUAC